GCUGGGUGCGGUCGCACGUCCCUGUAGUCCCAGCUACUCGGGAGGCUGAGGUGGGAGGAUCGCUUGAGCCCAGGAGAUCUGGGCUGUAGUGCGCUAUGCCGAUCGGGUGUCUGCACUAAGUUCAGCAUCAGUAUGGUGACCUCCCGGGAGUGGGGGACCACCAGGUUGCCUAAGGAGGGGUGAACCGGCCCAGGUCGGAAAUGGAGCAGGUCAAACCUCCCGUGCUGAUCAGUAGUGGGAUCUCGCCUGUGAAUAGCCACUGCACUCCAGCCUGGGCAACAUAGUGAGACCCCGUCUCU
rnacentral:SRP_RNA from 1 species